GGGGACUUAGCUCAGCGGCAUAAGCGCCUGCCUUGUAAGCAGGCAAUCGCCAGUUCGAUCCCUGGUACCA
rnacentral:tRNA from 1 species